rnacentral:tRNA from 1 species
GAGGAGUUAAGUUAAUGAAAACUAAUUGCCUUCAAAGCUAUUAAUAUUGGUUCAAAUCCAAUACUCCUCG